CACUGACGAAUUUGGGUUGUGCACGCCCUUUUAUACUAACGGUUGAGGGAUCUUUGUACACGUGAUGUAGCAAGUGGUGUGAUUUGUAUCCAGCCAAUCAACGUUGAGGUUUAAAAGUGUGGGUUGGCGUUGCUAGCUCGUUCCAGCCCUCAAAUUCUGUUUAUUUAAGGCGUUGUCGCACUGGUCGAGUUGGUUCGCUGUUCAAUCGAUCAAUGUUAAAAUAUGUUCACAACUUAAAAUACUUAUCAAAAUAUCAUAGUAAAACUUCAACCUAUACCUAUGUGAACCUUACUUUAUCUACUAAACUAAAUUUACUUACAAUUUUAUUGAACCAAGAUUUUGAUGACGUAAUGUUAUCAUUACUCGACUGCGCGAAAUAUACCGAAGAAUGAUUGACAGAAAGGCCCUAAGCAUGCACAUUUUCAUGUCAGAGAAGAACCAGCCUUGGACUUUGAAUUAUGUAAACACAACAGCCCAC